UAGCCAGUUGGCAUUACACAAGAAUGAAAGUUUGUGUCCUAGGGAAUGUCAGCACUCAGAUACUGAAUCCAAACUGCAAGACAAGAGGGCCGGUCACAGUGGAAGAAGUAAAUUGACAAAGAGGUGGGAUAGCGAGGAAGGGACGAGUGGAGGAUUCAUUCUUGCAGGACUUGAAAAUGGGGUACUGGAACAAUAGCUGAGUGAACAAAAUGGCUCUAUCCCCAAAGACAAGCAGGGGAAGGAGAGAACUAAUGAAGAAACUAAAGAAAGACAGACAACAGUAUGAGUCAAAAAGAAUGAUGAGAGUAGAGACAGAAGAUGUAGUAACAAUAGCUAUGAUAUGAUUGUUUCAGCAGAGCAAAGACAAGAAAGCGGGAGACAGGGCUGAGUGUCUGGUUUCUGCAGUGGACAACAUGUUCUGAUCCACAGAUAUGCUAGAGCCCAUAAAGAAUUGUAUAAGGACAAGUAGAGAUCCUCAUUUGGUGAGCUGACUGAAAUUACUGAAGCCAUGUCUGCAGGCAUCAUCUGAAACCUUGGCCUACAGGAUCCUUCAUCUGGAAAGAUAUAAGACACUGUUUA